UUCGAUCAUGGCUCAGAUUGCAAUCGCUGGCGGGAUGUUUCAUAUGCGUAGCGUCGAACGCACGGACUUCGGUCUGGUGGCGAGUGGCGAACGGGUGAGUAAUGCACGGAACGUGCCUAGAAGGUGGAUACGCGAAAGCGUAGCUAAUACCGCAUACCGCCCUUCGGGGAGCGGGUGGGACCCGCCUCGCACUAUUGGUACUGUCAAAGAUCACGAUUAAAGCGACCAGGCAGGUGCAACGCCGCGCCAGGGAGCUAACAGAACAGAUCCCGCAGCUUUUCAGUCGGUGAGGACGACCAGCCACACUGGGACUGAGACACGGCCCAGACUCCUACGAGGCAGCAGUGGGGAAUUUUGACAAUGGGGAAACCCCUGAUCCAGCCUAUCCUGCCGCGUGCGAUGAAGGCCUUCGGGUUGUAAAAGCACUUUGGCGGUGUGAAAAGAAACGGCACGCACACACCGCAACCCUGACGGCACUCGCAGAAUAAGCACCGGCUAACUACGUGCCAGCAGCCGCGAAUACGUAGGUGCAAGCGUUGACCUGAAUUACUGGGCGGAAGCGCGCGCAGGCGGUUCGAAAGAAAGAUGCGAAAUCCCAGAGCUUAACUGGAAUCCGCAUUUUUAACUACUUGUUAGAGGUCAGAGGGAGGCUGAAUUCGCGCAGCAGCAAGAACAAGUGCGUAGAUAUGCGGAGGAACACCGAUGCACGAAGGCAGCCUCCUGGGAUAACACUGACGCUCGCGCAACGAAAGCGUGGGGAGCAAAACAGGAUAGACACCGGUAGUCCACGCCCUAAACGAUGUCAACUAGCUGUUAAAUUCUCGUGGCCUUGCAGUAGCGCAGCUAACGUGUGAAGGUGAUCCGUCUGGGGAGUACGGUCUCCCAAGAUUAAAACUCAAAAUGGAAUUGACGGGGACCCGCACAAGCGGUGGAUGACGUGGAUUAAUCGACGCAACGCGAAAAUUCGCCUACCUUUGAUGGUCUGGAAUCCCGAAGAGAUUUGGGAGUGCUCGCAAGAGAACCGGAACACAGGUGCUGCAUGCUGUCGCCAGCUCGUGUCGUGAGCGACGCCAGGUUGGAGUCCCGCAACGAGCGCAACCUGUCAUUAGUUGCUACGAAAGUUCCGGGCACUCUAAUGAGACUGCCGGUGACAAAUCCCGAGGAAGGUGGGGAUGACGUCAAGUCCUCAAGGGCCCUUGCGGGUAGCCUGAAGACGCCAAUGGUCGGGACAGAGUGGUCGCUAACCCGCGAGGGGGAGCAUCCCGAAACCCGAUCGUAGUCCGGAUCGCAGUCUGCAACUCGACUGCGUGAAGUCGGAAUCUGCUAAAGGAUCCCGGAUCAGCAUGUCGCGCACAUGUCCCUGGGUCUUGCAUACACCACCGCCUGUCACACCAGCACAUGGGAGUGGGUUUUACCAGAAGUAGUUAGCCUAACCGGGUGAGGGCGAUUAACACGGUAGGAUUCAUGACUGGGGUGAAGUCGUAAACAA
rnacentral:rRNA from 1 species